UAGCUGGCCGGCUAGCUCUGGUCCGGCUAAGCUACUUUCCAAACGGAGACGACGCUCGACGCGACGACGAGCGAUAAACAUUUUUCGCUGAAGUAAUGUCGCAGGUCCUGGUUUUCCUGCUGGCACUGACACAAGGCCUUCCUCUCUGCGUCCAGAGCCUGGACAAGAUGUCCAUUCUCCAGACACUUCAGAGAGAACUGCCGGGACAGAACCUCCAGCUCCCGCUGGACUGUGUUUCCGCGGCUGUUUUCUGACUGACAUCUCCUCUGCGCCUCCCUCUCCAGCUCCAGACGGUGGGCGUUCUUGAUGGCUUCGAUCGCUGAGAAACAAGGAACACGAGAGGACGUGACACUGC